rnacentral:lncRNA from 1 species
CUCUGAUUUCAACACACUGUGGGAUGAGUGCUGACUUAACUCUGAUUUUAACAUGCUGUGGGGUGAGUGCUGACUUAACUCCGAUUUCAACAUGCUGUGGGGUGAGUGCUGACUUAACUCUGAUUUCAACACACUGUCGGGGGAGUGCUGACUUCUCUGAUUUCAAAAUACUGUGGGGCCAGUUCUGACUUAAGUCUCUGAUUUCAACACGCUGUGAGGCCAGUGCUGACUUAACGCUCUGAUUUCAACACCUGCAGGACAAGGGCUGACUUAACUCUGAUUUCAACACUCUGCGGGACGAGUGCUGGAACUCUCUGAUUUCAACAUGCUGCAAGGCCAGUGCUGAUCUAACUCCCUGAUUUCAACAUGCUGCGGGAUGAGUGCUGACUUAACUCUGAUUUCAACACACUGCAGGGCAGGUGCUGACUUAACUCUGUGAUUUCAACACACUGCAGGGCAGGUGCUGACUUAACUCUGUGAUUUCAACACACUGCAGGGCAGGUGCUGACUUAACUCUGAUUUCAACACACUGCAGGGCAGGUGCUGACUUAACUCUGUGAUUUCAACACACUGCAGGGCAGGUGCUGACUUAACUCUGUGAUUUCAACACACUGCAGGGCAGGUGCUGACUUAACUCUGAUUUCAACACACUGCAGGGCAGGUGCUGACUUAACUCUGUGAUUUCAACACACUGCAGGGCAGGUGCUGACUUAACUCUGUGAUUUCAACACACUGCAGGGCAGGUGUUGACUUAACUCUGUGAUUUCAACACACUGUGGGGCCAGUGCUGACUUAACUCUGUGGUUUCAACACGCCAUGGGGCCAGUGCUGACUUAACUCUGUGAUUUCAACACACUGUGGGGGCCAGAGCUGACUUAACUCUGUGGUUUCAACACGCCAUGGGGCCAGUGCUGACUUAACUCUGUGAUUUCAACACACUGUGGGGCCAGUGCUGACUUAACUCUGUGGUUUCAACACGCCAUGGGGCCAGUGCUGACUUAACUCUGUGAUUUCAACACACUGUGGGGCCAGUGCUGACUUAACUCUGAUUUCAACACACUGUGGGGCCAGUGCUGACUUAACUCUGAUUUCAACAUGCCACAGGGCUGGUGCUGACUUAACUCUGCUACACUCACUUGUGAAUCAACUUGAAUGAUCUGGAAUGUGUGCAACCUGUGCACUGUGACAAAAAAUAGACUCACACAGCUGGAAGGACAGCUCAGUGCAGAGUGCACCUCAGAGCAUUAGGUGUAAAAACUCUUACUUCAGAGAAAUCAUGUAUGAAAUGGAAAACAACCGGUCCAUGUUAGGUUAAAGCAUCACAGAACAGAAAAUUAAACCUGAUGAAUGUCUGUCCCUAAAUAACCUCAGGUUUAGACUUAAGAGAGAGAGCGUGUGUGAGCACAGGAGAGAAAAACCUUCACAUCAACCCAGAAAGGCCGCUCAGUCUCUAGCUUGGGGGGAGACGGCCACACCUGGAGGGAGGGGAGGUGGUCAUCAG